CCCCGAGAUCAAGACCUGAGCUGAGAUCAAGAGUUGGACACUUAUCCAACUGAGCCACCCAGGUAUUCAUGGAUACCUACAUGGCUUCCACCUUCUGGAUGUUGCAAAAUAAUGCUUUUAUGAUGUGAGUGUACAAAUAUCUAUUCUGGACCCUGCUCUCAGCACUAGUGAAGCAGAAUUUCUGGAUCAUAUGAAUGCUGAUUAAUGUGGAAAGAAUGCCUAAGAUAGAAAAUUACCCUCUUCCAGGCGUCACUAUUUAACGGACUCAGAUGCCAACACAUCCCUGAGACUCACCAGCACAUUGAUGAUCAUGCUGUUCUCUACAGUGACAGCCUUCACAAGGAGCUUUCUGGACCCAUCCUUAGACUCAUACCGGAGGACAUACAGGUCUUUAUUGCUGUUCCAUUCAGCCGGCAGCAGUUCUGAUUUCUUAUCAUUGGGACCUGGCUGAGAAGACACCAGGAUUGAGAGAAGUGUGAGGACAAUGGGGACCCCCAGACACGGCAGGUGGCCACUGAAACUGCUGCAAAUCCUCUGGAAAGCAGCCUAGCAGUAUGUGGUACCCUCAGCAAGUAGAUUGGAAAGCUCUGGACUCAGGAAAAUAUGGUGGGAAAAGUUGGACCAAAGAUGAAGAACAAGCGCAAGAGACAAAAGUUCGGCACCACAGUCCUUACACACACCAAGGACAACAAGAGGCCAAGAGCAAAAAAUUGUGGGCCUCUCCUCUCUGAUCACCCUUGGUACUCAGGAGUCCAAUGGGAGAAGUGGUCCCAAAUACAAUUCAAGAUGUUGCAACUGGUGUGGUUUCAAAGCUGGCUGGAUAACAAGGAAACUGACAGCCUGAAGCAAAGAAAUGAGACUGACAAAAAACGAAAGUGAUACAAAUCUGCCAAGUGAGAAAGAGAAACAACAAUCCCUCACCUCCAGCUGGGUACAUUUCCCCUAAUAGGUUUAGUAGAUUCAAGGUUUACUCUGGAAGCUAAGAUUUUGAUAACUGUGCCUUGUGUUUGUUCUGUCAGAGGUCUUUGAGUUUGUAUGUAUAUCUUUCACAUACAGCAUAUAACCCACCAGAAGUUUUCCUUGGAAUAUAGAUAAUCCUGCCUGCUCACUCUCCUACAGACUCUGGCUUGUGGGCAAGAGAGAACCCUGGGGUUAGAUGAGGCUAAUGCCUCUCACUGCAGGGGGACUGAUGGUCCCAGCCCACGGGCCUGCUCUGAUAUAAGGCAGAUGGAACCAACAGGGAUCAGCCCUGGUGAUAUCAGGUCAAAUAGGGCAUUUCAACCGUCUUCUAGGCCCCGACAUCAAAUAUCAGGCCCCCCCAGAAAGCUGCACCUGGAAAGUGGCCAAAGCAUAUGGCUGUGUAGUUGAACACCCUCAGAUGAAAAAUUUAAGGGAUCAGAGGGGCUGAGAAUCACCUAAGGUCACAGUAACUCAGAUGCAGAGCUGGGUUUGGCAUUCAGAGCUCCUGGCUGCUUGGUCUACGGCUGGAAAUUUUUCCCAGCCAGGGGACUGGCCUCAGGAAAGUAAAGAUAGUUGUCUACAAAGGCAAAAUCCUGGGGCUAGAAGCAUUCUGCAGUGGCUAUGAGUUUAUCCCAGGGUCUCUCUGGGCUAAAAUGCAACCAAAAAAACACAACCAGAUCAUUCUGGGCAUUUCCCCUCUUUUUUCAUAACCUUUAGAUUCCUACAACAGAAAACAAGAUUCUUUUUUUUUUUUUAAGAAAACAAAUUUCUUGAACUCCUACCUGUAGCCAUCUCUAACCUUUGCCGCCUAACCCACUUGACACCUUUGUAAAGCUCACAUGAGUGGUACUGACUUUGAAAAAGUAAUCCAAAUUCAAAUUUUGGAUUUUUUGUUGAAGCCAGUGGCCUCACCGCUCUUCUAACCAUGUUUUACAUACACAACCGCCCCACACAAGAGGAGAUAAAACCAGAGGAGACCAGCAGACAAUUCAGCUAUUUAACUGUCAAUAUACUGUAUAAUGAAGCACACACUUUUGGAGCCUUCCUCUCUCAUCACCUCUACAAGGGGUGGGGCGCAGGAGGUUGGCUGGAGAGGCAACAUAAGCAUCCUCUGAGCAUAGAAGAAUCUCAGCAGAGUCUGCUGGUCCCAGGCCAGAAAAUUAAACUCUCUCUUAAUUAAUUAAACUAAUAGAUGCCUCUCUAAAGGGCUUCUACUCUCAUGGAAGUGGACUUAGCAAAAGUCACAGGAGGACAAGUGCAACCAGAGCUUGAGCAGCACUGGAGACAGGGCACAGAAGCAAGAUGACACAUCAGACAGCAAUACAAACACCCAACCCCAGAGGGCAUGCCUGAUUUGCCACUGGGCAGUGUCUUUCAAAACCCUCCUCCCUGGUCUCCCUGGCCUCCUGUAAGACAUUUGGGACCAGCAUCUUUUCCCGGCCUGCACGAACUCAACAGGUGGCACCAUGAACAGAGUGGAAUUAGAUGGAUCUUUAGGAAUCAAAGAUCUUUUAU